UACGGAGGGAGCUAGAGUUGUUCGGAAUUACUGGGCGUAAAGCGCACGUAGACGGCUAUUCAAGUCGGGGGUGAAAGCCCGGGGCUCAACCCCGGAACUGCCCUCGAAACUAGGUAGCUAGAAUCUUGGAGAGGCGAGUGGAAUUCCGAGUGUAGAGGUGAAAUUCGUAGAUAUUCGGAAGAACACCAGUGGCGAAGGCGACUCGCUGGACAAGUAUUGACGCUGAGGUGCGAAAGCGUGGGGAGCAAACAGG
rnacentral:rRNA from 1 species